CCUCAGAAGAAGAAUAAUCCCGGGAAACUGGGGCUAAUGCUUCAUAGGAGACGGGUGCUGGAACGCUCUGUCUCUGAAAGGUCCGCCGUCUGAGGAUGAGUCUGCGUCCGAUUAGGUUGUUGUUGGGGUAACGGCCCACCAAGCCUUUGAUCGGUACGGGUUGUGGGAGCAAGAGCCCGGAGAUGGAUUCUGAGACAUGAAUCCAGGCCCUACGGGGCGCAGCAGGCGCGAAAACUUUACAAUGCGAGCAAUCGUGAUAAGGAAACCCUGAGUGCCUGUCAACGCAGGCUGUUCUGGUGUCUAACACACACCAGGAGAAAGGGCGGGGCAAGACCGGUGCCAGCCGCCGCGGUAAUACCGGCUGCUCGAGUGAUAGCCACUUUUACUGGGCUUAAAGCGUUCGUAGCUUGGUCGUUAAGUCUCUGGGGAAAUCUUUUGGCUCAACCAAAAGGCGUCUCACGGA
rnacentral:rRNA from 1 species